UACGAGGGGGGCGAGCGUUGUUCGGAAUUAUUGGGCGUAAAGGGCGCGUAGGCGGUCGGAUAAGUCUUGUGUGAAAUCUUCGGGCUCAACUCGAAGUCUGCACAGGAAACUAUCUGGCUUGAGUGCGGCAGAGGAGACUGGAAUUCCUGGUGUAGCAGUGAAAUGCGUAGAUAUCAGGAGGAACACCGAUGGCGAAGGCAGGUCUCUGGGCUGACACUGACGCUCAUGCACGAAAGCGUGGGGAGCAAACAGG
rnacentral:rRNA from 1 species